UUUUACACUAGUGCAAGCAUGUGAGAAAGCACAGCCAAGUGAUUUAAAAGGAGUUCCAGCCUGUCCUUUGACUCCACAUGCUUAUGGAUUUCGAAAUUCACUUAAUCAGCCUUAUCUCUUCUUAUAUAGUUUGUAUCUGAUACAUUAAAUCAUUUUAAUGGAGUUUUGAGUCUCUCUCUCUUGUUCUUAUUCUCUCUAGAACUCUUAAUCUCCUAAACAUUAUACAAAUCACACAGAUUAAUUAUUAAACACACUACAAACACAAAAGUGUUUAUGGUAUCAGAGCCAGGUUCCGCAAAGGGGAGAGUGUGUUUGAUUAUGAUUUUCGAAAUCAGAGUUUCUUGAGGUGUUCUUGAGGUGUUCUUGGUGUUCUUGAUGUGUUCUUGGUGUUUUUUGGUGUGCUUGAGAUCGAAUUGAGUCGGUGGAGAGUUUCUGAUGCAUUCAAACGAGUUAAGCAUGGUGGAGGAGAUAAGAUCAAGAAGUGAAGAGAAGAAAGAGAGAGAAAACGAGUGUGCUUGGUCAAGCUGGAUAAAGACAGCUUUUGAAAGCUGUGGGAUUUGGAGUAAUCAUGAAAAGGAAGAACCUUUAAAGGUGAGAGCUGCUGAGAAAGAUCAGACAGCAAGGUUGGAGGAGAUUCAAGUAAAGGUGGAACCUUUAAAGGAGGUAGCUGCUGAAGAAGGUCAGACAGCAAGGUUGGAGGUUCAUGAAGCCAAGGGCGUGAUCUAUAGUCUAAGAAAAGGGAAGAACGAGUUGUAUCAGCUUGUGGAGAGGCUGAGAGAAGUUGAAUCAGAGUUGAGUAUGGUGAAAACUCAUACAGCAAGUCCGAGUUGGUAUCAAGGAAGGAGGAAGCAAGAUGUGAUCUUUGGCUUUCUUAUGGGAGAGAUUUGUGAGCUAGUUGAACACAUGUGUGAUGUGUGGGAGAUAAACAAGAAGCCAGAUAGAUGGAAGAGAGGUACAAGCUGCAAGAAGGGAAAGUUGAGAAAACUUUCUAAGAUGUGGGUCAUGAUGAGCAGAUUAUGGAGAAAGGAUAUCAAGGAGAGUAUGCAAGUAGGAGAAUGCUUGUACUCAGAUUACAUUGGAGAAUCUGUAGAGAGCAGUGGGGUUAUGAGGAAGCUAGAGACCAAAGGAGCGGAUGAGCCUGUCACAAAGGAGGAAUGGGAUGAGUUUGUCAAGUAUGUGUAUGCUUUGGCUACGACCCGGAGACAAGGUGCUCCUGCCAAAGCAUCCACAUCCAACAAACCCAUCAUUGUUGAUUCUGGAGCAAGUCAUCACAUGAUUAGUGACAGAAGCUUAAUGAGUGAUGUAAAGAAAGCUACUGGGGGUGUGAUGAUAGCUAAUGGUGAUAGGAUUCCAAUAGAAGGAGUUGGAAAGCUCAAGCUAUUUGAUAAAGACUCAGAUGCCUUCUACAUGCCACAGUUUGCUUCAAAUCUACUAUCUGUGAGGAAAGCCACAAUUGAUCUUGGCUGUCAAGUAGUAUUCAGGCCAGAUGAUGUUGAGUUCCAAGAUUUGAAGACUGGAAAGGUCAUUGGGAGAGGAGACAGCAAGAAUAAUCUAUACCAGCUCCAAUUGGCUAAGAUCUCUAAACCCUUUGAUUCUAUGUGUUUGAGCAGUACUUAUGAAAAGAUUGAUAGUAUUACUUGGCAUGCUAGAUUGGGACAUCCUCACGCUCGUGCUAUUGAAUUGAUAAUUCCUAAUAUGUCAUUUAAUCACUUGGAGUGUGAAGCAUGCAUAUUAGGAAAGCAUUGUAGGACUGUUUUUCCAACAUCAGAAACUACUUAUGAGCAUUGCUUUGAUCUAGUUCAUUCAGAUGUGUGGACUGCUCCUUGUUUGUCUAGAGAUAGCCAGAAGUACUUUGUGACAUUCAUUGAUGAGAAGUCUAAGUAUACUUGGCUUACAUUGCUUCCAUCUAAAGAUAGGGUGCUAGAAGCAUUUAUGAACUUCCAAGCAUAUGUAUCUAAUCAAUACAAUGCUACUGUGAAGGUACUGAGAUCAGAUAAUGGAGGUGAAUACAUCAGCAAUGCCUUCAAGAGUCAUCUAGCCAAGCAUGGGAUUGUGCAUCAGACUAGCUGCCCUUAUACACCACAGCAGAAUGGUGUAGCUGAGAGGAAGAACAGGCACUUGAUGGAGGUUGCUAGAUCGAUGAUGUUUCAUGCAAAUGUCCCAAAACGUUUUUGGAGUGAUGCUGUGCAGACUGCUUGCUAUCUCAUCAACCGGAUUCCAACCAAGAUAUUGAAGAAUCUGUCUCCAUUUGAGGUAUUGAACAAGAGCAAACCUGUCAUUGAUCAUCUACGUGUCUUUGGGUGUGUGUGCUAUGUCAUGGUUCCAGGAGAGCAGAGAAACAAGCUGGAGGCAAAGAGUACUAAGGCUAUGUUCAUUGGUUACUCUAUCACUCAGAAGGGGUACAAGUGCUAUGAUCCGGAAGCAAGGAGAGUGAUGGUAUCUAGAGAAGUGAAGUUUGUUGAAACAAAAGGUUAUUAUGAAGAAAAGGAGUGGGAAAAUCUGAAGGAUUUGUCUCAAGCUCCAUCUGAUAAGGCAACAAUACUGAGAGUGUUGUUAGAGAAGCUUGGGAGAGGAUUAUCCCAGGAUCAGGAAACCGGAAGGAGAGAGUCUUCCAAUCAGAGUGGUGGAGCUGGAAGAACAACUCCUCUUGAUCAUGAGAGGGGGAAUGGAACUGAAUCUGGUGAGCAAGAGCAAAACCAAGAGGAUUCAGGUCUUCAUGAUCAAGAUACAUCACAAGAAGUUGAGAACAAUGAGGUUCAGUCUAGUGGAGAAGUGGAUGAGGUUCAGUCUAGUGUAGAAGAACAAGUCAGACCGGCCAGUUCAGAAGAAGAGCAAGUGGAGCCGGCUAGUGUGCAAACUGAAGAUCAGGUUCAAGCUUUGAGGAGGAGCACAAGGAUAAAGAGGGAUCCUUCCAACUGGGUAAACACGAGAGUGUACUACAAUGCCCAGGCUGUGGAGCAUCCUUCUCAAGCCGUGUGUUCCUUUGCUGAGUUUCCAGAGGAGCAUUAUGCCUUUAUGAUUAGUCUGGAUGAGAGUUAUGUACCAAGGACUUAUGAAGAAGCUAUGUUAGACAAGGAGUGGAAAGAAUCAGUGGGAGCUGAAGCAGGUGCUAUGAUCAAAAAUGAUACAUGGUAUGAGAGUGAGCUGCCUAAGGGAAAGAAGGCUGUAUCUAGUAGAUGGAUCUUCACAAUCAAGUAUCUAGCAAAUGGACAGAUUGAUAGGAAGAAGACCAGAUUGGUUGCAAGAGGAUUUACACAGACCUAUGGAGAGGAUUACAUUGAUACCUUUGCACCAGUAGCUAAGCUACAUACAGUUCGGAUUGUGUUGUCCAUUGCAACAAACUUGGAGUGGGAUUUGUGGCAGAUGGAUGUGAAGAAUGCUUUCUUACAAGGUGAGCUAGAAGAUGAGGUAUACAUGCUUCCUCCUCCUGGUCUUGAGCAUCUAGUAAAGCCAGGGAAUGUUUUGAGAUUGAAGAAGGCAAUAUAUGGGCUGAAACAAUCACCUAGAGCUUGGUACAGGAAGCUGAGUACAACACUCAAUGGGAGAGGCUUUAGGAAGUCUGAAUUAGAUCACACUCUCUUCACCUUGACAGGACCUUCAGGGAUCAUUGUGAUUCUAGUGUAUGUGGAUGACUUGAUUAUCACAGGGAGUGAUAAGGCAGGGAUUCAAGCUACUAAGGAGUUUCUUAAAUCUGUGUUUGACAUCAAGGAUUUGGGAGAGAUGAAGUAUUUUCUGGGCAUUGAGAUAUGCAGAUCAAAGGAGGGUUUGUUUAUGUCUCAAAGGAAGUAUACUAUGGAUAUGUUGAAGGAGACUGAUGUGCUUGGAGGAAAGAUAGCCAAGACACCUCUCGAGGAGGGAUAUAAGGUUCUGCGUGAGGGGGAGGUUGAAGAGAAGCAGCUGUUUGAGGAUCCUAAGCUAUACAGGAAGAUGGUUGGCAAGCUGAUCUACUUGACCAUCACUAGGCCAGAUAUAUGCUUUGCGGUGAAUCAAGUGAGUCAACAUAUGCAGGCGCCAAAGGUCCAUCAUUGGAAGAUGGUUGAUAGGAUACUGAGGUAUUUGAGUGGCACGUCUGGUCAAGGAAUUUGGAUGGGUUGUAAUGGCAGUACAGAAGUGGUUGGAUAUUGUGAUGCUGAUUGGGCAGGAGAUAGAGUGGACAGGAGAUCAACUACUGGGUAUUGUACAUUCAUUGGAGGGAACUUGGUUACUUGGAAGAGUAAGAAGCAGAAGGUUAUCUCUUGUUCAAGUGCUGAAGCUGAGUAUAGAGCCAUGUUGAAGCUGACAAACGAGUUGGUGUGGAUCAAGGGGAUCUUGAAGCAUCUAGAGAUUGAGCAGAGUACUCCUAUGACUAUGCAUUGUGACAAUCAAGCAGCUAUCCACAUUGCCUCCAACUCAGUGUUUCACGAGAGAACAAAGCACAUAGAGGUGGAUUGUCAUAAGGUGAGGCAGAUGAUUAUCUUAGGAGUGAUUCUGCCAUGUUAUACAAGGAGUGAAGAUCAGCUUGCAGAUGUAUUCACUAAGGCAGCAAGAUUGAAGACAAUGGAGUCCAUACUAUCCAGGCUUGGACUCAUUGAUCUUACUCCUAGGAGCUGAGCCCCUUGACCAUGGAGUCUCCACUCUUUUUCCCUCAUCAAAGUUUUAUCCCAAUGGGUUUUCUUUGGUGAGGUUUUUAAUGAGGGAGGUCUUCAUGGUUUGGUCUUGCUCACGCCUCUCCAUAAGCGUAGCCUCAUCAUUGGUAUUUGGCCUCAACAUCUCUAGUUCAGACCACAAGGCCCUGAACUUUCCCAAGUGUUUAGUGUGUUGAGAUGAGAGGAUAGAGAGAAGAUACAUUGAUAGAGGAAGAGUAUUUUGUUGAGAUGAAGACCAAAGAGGCUGAGACAGUAACUUUAGAGUUUUACUGUGGUAACUUUCUUUUAACCACAGUAACUACUUGGGGAAGUUAUCUGAUGGGAUGAGGAGGUAACUUAAUGAGGAGAAGAGAGGAAAUUCGACCUAAGAGGAUAAGGAAGGAUAAGGGAGCACUUUGACAGCCUGUAUGAUGCUGGAAAGGAGAGGAUGCUUUUUACUAGUGCAAGCAUGUGAGAAAGCACAGCCAAGUGAUUCAAAAGGAGUUCCAGCCUGUCCAUUGACUCCACAUGCUUAUACAUUUCGAAAACCCUUGUUGCUCUCUCUAUUAAUACUUGUAAACCUCAUCAGUUAUUAAUUAAUGGAGUUUUGAGUCUCUCUCUCUUGUUCUUAUUCUCUCUAGAACUCUUAAUCUCCUAAACAUUAUACAAAUCACACAGAUUAAUUAUUAAACACACUACAAACACAAAAGUGUUUAUGGUAUCAGAGCCAGGUUCCGCAAAGGGGAGAGUGUGUUUGAUUAUGAUUUUCGAAAUCUGAGUUUCUUGAGGUGUUCUUGAGGUGUUCUUGGUGUUCUUGAUGUGUUCUUGGUGUUUUUUGGUGUGCUUGAGAUCGAAUUGAGUCUGUGGAGAGUUUCUGAUGGAUUCAAACGAGUUAAGCAUGGUGGAGGAGAUAAGAUCAAGAAGUGAAGAGAAGAAAGAGAGAGAAAACGAGUGUGCUUG
rnacentral:lncRNA from 1 species